UGAGGAAUAUUGGGUCAAUGGGCGAGAGCCUGAACCAGCCAAGUAGCGUGCAGGAUGACGGCCCUAUGGGUUGUAAACUGCUUUUAUAAGGGAAUAAAGUGAGCCUCGUGAGGCUUUUUGCAUGUACCUUAUGAAUAAGGACCGGCUAAUUCCGUGCCAGCAGCCGCGGUAAUACGGAAGGUCCGGGCGUUAUCCGGAUUUAUUGGGUUUAAAGGGAGCGUAGGCCGGAGAUUAAGCGUGUUGUGAAAUGUAGGUGCUCAACAUCUGCGCUGCAGCGCGAACUGGUUUCCUUGAGUACGCACAAAGUGGGCGGAAUUCGUGGUGUAGCGGUGAAAUGCUUAGAUAUCACGAAGAACUCCGAUUGCGAAGGCAGCCAUCUGGGGUAUUACUGACGCUGAGGCUCGAAAGUGCGGGUAUCAAACAGGAUUAGAUACCCUGGUAGU
rnacentral:rRNA from 1 species